rnacentral:rRNA from 1 species
AUGUUCGUGCCGCCGGCAGCUGCUCCCCUCCACGCCCCUAUGCCGUCGCCGUGCAUGCCUCUGCUGCCGCUACCGGCCGUUGGCUGCCCAUCCGCCUAUCGCGUCGUCGCCCUCGUCCAGUGGAGCCGCCCUCAUCCAGGAUGGUACAAGCUCAACUUUGACGGGUCGGUGCACCAUGACGGCUCUGGGCGUGCGAGCACUGGGGGAGUCAUCAGAGACUCCUACGGCCGCGUCGUGCUCGCGUUCGCCAAGAGGACGCCGCACGCAGGUGUUGGCGUCGUCGAGGCAAGGGCACUCAUCCGUGGCCUCCGCUUCGCUCUUGUGAGCGGAUACGAUCGACUCGUCGUGGAAGGCGACGAUCUAACAUUGGUGUUGCUGCUCCGGGGCAAGUCAAAGCACACGCGUAUACCAAGUGCCAUGCACGCGGAGAUCCGUCGACUUCUUUCCUGCUUCCGGGAGUAUGAGGUGCAGCAUGUGUACCGGGAAGGCAACCAAGUGGCGGACACCCUGUGCCACCAGGCGUAUCGAUGCCCCGGCGUGUGGAAGAUGGAUCAGCUGCCGCCACCGGCCGUUUGGGCCAAGGCCGAGGACGAUCGUCACGGCGUCGUAUACCCGCGACUCCGAGCUGCCGCCACCGGCCGUUUGGACCAAGGCCAAGGACGACCGUCACGACGUCGUAUACCCGCGACUCCGGCCAGCACCAACAUGAUGAUGACACCAGUCAGCCGGCGCUCUGAGUGGGUGCCACACUUCAUGCAGUGUUAG